CCGUCAGCUACUGGAGUGAAAUGACUUGGGUUUGAUUUGCCGGUGGCACUAGUGGAGGUUAGAUCGCUGUCUGAACGAUAGCUGUUAGUGGUUGAAUUGCUCCACGAUCACCGUCGUAGGUUGCUGUAUCGAUGCAGGAACUUCCACCGUCACCGAAGGUGUGGAAGCAGAGUGAUUAAUUUUAUUCUGCACCUGCCAAGAGGUGGAGGUGUUGAUUUAU
rnacentral:lncRNA from 1 species